rnacentral:pre_miRNA from 1 species
AAGGUUCACAUUGGUACCUGAACUUGACGUCUCGGUUCAAAUUGGCUUUUAAGUCCAAAUUAGUACUAGAGUUAGAUGAGGUAUUUGAACCAAUUUUAACUAUGAAGUCAAGUUUGGUACUAAUUUGAACCAA